GGGGAAUAUUGCACAGUGGAGGAAACUGUGAUGCAGCGACGCCGCGUGAGUGAAGAAGGUUUUCGGAUCGUAAAGCUCUGUUAUUGGGGAAGAAAAAAUGACGGUACCCAAGAAGAAAUUCCCGGCUAACUACGUGCCAGCAGCAGCGGUAAUACGUAGGGGACAAGCGUUGUCCGGAUUUACUGGGCGUAAAGGGCACGCAGGCGGUUUUUUAAGUCAGAUGUGAAAGGUACCGGCUCAACCGGUGACAUGCAUUUGAAACUGAAAGACUUGAGUAUUGGAGAGGCAAGUGGAAUUCCUAGUGUAGCGGUGAAAUGCGUAGAUAUUAGGAGGAACACCGGUGGCGAAGGCGGCUUGCUGGACAAAUACUGACGCUGAGGUGCGAAAGCGUGGGGAGCAAACA
rnacentral:rRNA from 1 species